GUGCGACCUGAAGUCCAAAUAAAAAUUGUAUAACUUCAAUGAUUAUACAUUGUAUUUCAUCUUACAAUAGUCUAUUUAGAUAUGCAUUUUGGGUAACUAUUUUGUAUAAAGCUCUAGAGAAAAGAUUAUAAUAAUCCUGGCUUUCUUCUAUGGUUAGAGAAAUUGAAUCAAUGUAAUUAAAACUUUUUUUUUAUUUGGCAUUUAGCGUGUCCUUGGUUAAAUGAAGAUGAACNUAAAAAUAGAAAAGUAAAGUUGAAACCUAAGGANNNNNNUUAUUUAUGGACAAGAAAACGAGAUUUUGGUAAAGAAAAGAAAACGACGUAUCAAUUAGUUAUCUCAAGUAAAAAAGAUAUUAAAAAUUUGAUUGCAUUUUUAGACAAUAAAGAUAAUAUACCUUUACAAGGUAAUAAAUAUACACAAUAUUUAGAAUGAAAAAAUUAUGAUAAUAGUAUAUAGACGUAUAUAACGUUUGAGCCGUAUGCGAUGAAAAUUGCACGUACGGUUCUAAGAGGGGGAAAGCCUGCAAGGGCCUACCUAUCUCGAC
rnacentral:rRNA from 1 species